UAUUGUUGCUGUUUUUUCAAAAAUCAGCUUUAUUGAGAUAUAAUUCACUUAACAUACAAUGAGCCCAUUUCAGGUGUACAAUUCAAGUGUUUUAGUGUAUUCAUAAGGUUGUGCAACUAUCACCAUAGUCUAGGUUUUGAAUAUUUUUGCCCCCUGCAAAAAGAAAAGAAUCCCUGGUGCCCAUUAAGCAGUCAUUCCCCAUCCCUCCACUUCCAGCCCUUGGCAACCACUUGUCUACUUCCUGUGUCUAUAGAUUUACCUAUUCUGGAUAUUUUGAAUAUAUGGAAUCAUACAACAUGUGGUGGUCUUUUUUGACUGUCUUCUUUUACUUAGCAUGACUGUUGCAGUUUUUCUAUAGUUUGCCACGUAUUAGAGCUUCAUUCAUUUUUAUUGUCAAAUAGUAUUUCACUGUAUGGACAUACCACAUUACACAUUUGGGUUGUUCCAACUCCUUGGCUAUGAUAAAUAAUGCUUCUAUAAAUAUUCAUGUUUAAGUUUUUGUGCGGACACAUAUUUCCCUUGAGGAUGAAUUGCUGGGUCAUUGUUGGUGUUUGAAAUUAUUCAUUUUGGUGACCCUGGCCAAAGUGUACAAUUUGAGUUCAUAUUAUAAUAUGACAUUGCUAGUAAUUCAAAUAUUAGUGUUUUUUUUUUUUUAAUUAAAGAAGCCAAAAUAGUGUCUGUCAAUUCUGAGUCUGGGAGAUAGAAAUAUAUGGUAUAUUUGUUUGUAUAAAUACAUUGUGUGUGACUGUGUAAUUUAAUAGAGUAGCUUUACCACUACCUAUUUAGAAUAAGUCUUUAUUUGAAUUAUAUUUAAGCAGCUUUGUCCAUAUUACAAUUGUGAUUUUUUUCCUCAUUACUUUUGAAAGGAUUUUGGAGAUAAUUCUUUUUGAGGACGAUUAUGAAGAUUCAGAGACUCUUCUUAAUAGAAUAUUAAGUGAUGACAAUUAAUGAGGUGACCAGAGUGGUGGAGAAUGUAACUUGACCAGUGAUUCUCUGUCGUUCUGAUCCUCACAAGCUCUACCUCGUCUCUAAGCACCUUAGUGUCCUAUUUUGUCCCUUACAGGCUCGCUAAAAGUUGCUUGGAUGAAGGGCUUCAAGAUACAAGAGCCCAAGGCACUCUAGUCUCCUUUGGGUGUUUGAAUUUCUUCUUUAAACACACCAACAGUAAAAGAACUACUAUUUCAAAUAAGCAGUACCAUAACUGACUAUAUCUUCUGAGGUUUUGGAUGCAAUCUAAGAGAAAGGGGGAAGAGAGACCCGACUUGGCAAGACCCGUACCGAAGCAGUUUGGAAAAAAAGCAAAGCAAAAAACAUGUGGAACCACUAAAGGCCAGUGCACGUCAGGUAUCCACCAGUCUGAAGAUGAAAGGAAGUAAGCCUCCUCCCCUGGGAGCUGGAGGUUAUUAGCAGCUGUUUAUCCAGUCGGGAAUAGAGAUUAACAUUGUACUUUUUUUUUAAGAACUAGAAGAAAAUUUGUUUGGGAAGUUGGCUUUUCAUAUCAAGUCACUGUGCCUUGCCAAAAAAAACUUCCUUUCUCAGAACUCAUGUACUAGCAUUGAGCAAUGUUAUGAUUCUCUGAGAAACUCUGGAUUACCAAAAAGUCUUUCUCCAUUAAAUAGAACAGAAAA